AGAGUUUGAUCAUGGCUCAGGAUGAACGCUAGCGGCAGGCCUAAUACAUGCAAGUCGAGCGGCAAGUCGAGGAGUAAUCCAAGACCUAGAGCGGCGCACGGGUGCGUAACGCGUAUGUAACCUACCCUAUACAGGGGGAUAGCCCGGAGAAAUCUGGAUUAAUACCCCAUGGCACUGCGAACCAGCAUUGGAUUGCAGUUAAAGAUUUAUCGGUAUAGGAUGGACAUGCGUCUGAUUAGCUAGUUGGCGGUGUAACGGACCACCGAGGCGACGAUCAGUAGGGGUUCUGAGAGGAAGGUCCCCCACACUGGCACUGAGAUACGGGCCAGACUCCUACGGGAGGCAGCAGUAGGGAAUAUUGGGCAACGGACGAGAGUCUGACCCAGCCAUGCCGCGUGCAGGAAGAAGGCGUUCUGCGUUGUAAACUGCUUUUAUCUGGGAAGAAAAGGCCCAUGCGUGGGAUAUUGCCGGUACCAGAUGAAUAAGCACCGGCUAACUCCGUGCCAGCAGCCGCGGUAAUACGGAGGGUGCAAGCGUUGUCCGGAUUUAUUGGGUUUAAAGGGUGCGUAGGCGGCCGAUUAAGUCAGCGGUGAAAGUUUUGGGCUCAACCCAGAAAUUGCCAUUGAUACUGGUCGGCUUGAGUAUUGCAGGGGUACAUGGAAUUGAUGGUGUAGCGGUGAAAUGCAUAGAUACCAUCAGGAACACCGAUAGCGAAGGCAUUGUACUGGGCAACCACUGACGCUGAUGCACGAAAGCAUGGGGAGCGAACAGGAUUAGAUACCCUGGUAGUCCAUGCCGUAAACGAUGAUUACUCGCUGUUAUGCUCUAGUAGUGUAGGGGCCAAGCGAAAGCGUUAAGUAUCCCCCUGG
rnacentral:rRNA from 1 species